UAGAUGUGAAUUGUGUCAAUUUCGCAUUCAAAUGGAUUAGAUUUUAAUUUAUUUCACAGAUCCAUGAAUUAGCUUGAAUUAAAAAUCUAUUAUCUACAAAAUCAUGGAUCAAAUAUGCAUUAAUGUUUGAUCUGCAAAAUCCUACUCACGAACGCCCUUAUUUAUUACUCACGAAUGCCCCUAUUUGUUAGUCCCAUGAUCUGGGGUUGAUUUUCACAUCAUUAAUUGUACCUUUUUACCCUUGGCGUCGACGAUUUUAGGCCAUUUUAAUUUUUUUUCUUUUAUGAGUCUUGAUAUUAAUAUUACAUUCUUAGUCGAGGUCUAUUUAAUUAAUUUGAAAUGGGUAUCCAUGUGGCUGAGCUCUAACAGCUCAGGCAUAACAAUGCAAUUAUCAGGGAUGCGCUUUACCACUGAACUAAUCGCCUGUCGUGCAGGCCUAUUGCUAAGGGCGCUCUAUGCUAAAGUGAGAAAAGCCCAAUCCUUUCUUUCUUUUGUACGCCCUAGUUAGGAGUUUGAUGUGUCUUCACUGUCAGGAGGUGAAAAGAAAGAAGGACAAGACUCAAAGGUGGCCCUUUUUUGAAGACGGGAAUUCCACUUGCGAAUCCCAGGCUCCCAGCAUACCCCGGGUUGGGAUGGGUAGGCCCACCACUUCACGUUCACUUAGGCCCAGGCCAAGUCAGUUGGGGGACCUUGUCGAGCUCCUCCCCCACCCCCAACCCAAAAAAAAAGAACCUUGGUCAAGGACCUUGUCGUCGGGGUCCUCCAAAUAAAUAAAUAAAAAAAGAAAGAA
rnacentral:lncRNA from 1 species